UGUUUCAAUUUUUCUUUGUACAACUUGGAGGAUUCAUAAGCUUGAUUCCUUAUCUUCUCUAACUCGUGCAUUCGAAGUUUCCCCCU
rnacentral:pre_miRNA from 1 species